CGUGCAAAAGGGGAGGCCUGUGCACUGAACUCCCAGACUUAGCUGGGCCUCAGUGCUCUUCUCGGGUUUGGUCGUAGAGCCCAAGAGGAGGUGGAUAAGCUGCCUGACACUGAUAUAGUAAAAGGAUUAUCUGCAAAUUUCUAGCAUCAUCAAGGUUGGCCUCUUUGGUCACAACCCCCAGGAGACCUGGAGAACUGAAUGCUGCUGCCCCCAAGGAGGAGGCUGCUGUCUUAUCCCAGGAGGGAGAGCAGGUGAAGUCCCCAGGGGAGGAAGCACCUAGCCCCAUUCCUGCUGAGCAGGAGGUGGCAGGUACCCCAGACUGGGAGGUAAGGACAGCCCGGGGCUUCAACUGGAACGUCUCCAGCCUGGGUCCGACUGAGCAGCCAUGGAGCAUUGCAGAGUGGGAGGCAGCAGGGCAGGGAGGCAGUGCUGGAGGCUGGCUCAACCCCAAGACCAGCAGGCCAAGCUGCCAUCCCAGGGGAGCCGGGACGUCUGUGCAGAGCUGAGAGGCAGCAGCCAUGUGUGAACAGACUGGCCUCAUCCUGGCCCCCCCCGACUUCUUGUGGACAGAGCCUGUUUCCCUGUCUGUGCAACACAGAACCUGCCUGAUCUCACUGCUGGAUCCCUCUUCUUCCUGCCAGGAAAAUAAAAAGGUUCAAAAGGAAGUUGCUGCGUAUCCAUCUGAGGCCUCUGAGGACAGCAAAGAGCA
rnacentral:sRNA from 1 species